GGGCGGGGGGUGCUUGUCACUUCCGGUAAAAAUACAACAAACGCUUAUGCUAGCAGUACAGCAGAGUGACAAGUUCGAGCUAAUUCGAGCAGAUUUUUAUGCUGUACUUGUGUUGAGCUGAACCCGCGUUUCGACCGAAGGCAACAUACCACCAGAUCCAUGGUGGCAGGUUCAGGGCUCAUGGAACCGUCCACUAAGCCUGGGACCAACCAGGUGGCUGAUGUGGUGUUUGUCAUCGAAGGGACGGCAAAUCUGGGACCUUACUUUGAAUCUUUAAGGAAAAAUUACAUACUUCCAGCUAUUGAAUAUUUCAAUGGAGGGCCUCCAGCAGAAACAGAUUUUGGUGGAGAUUAUGGAGGGACACAGUAUGGUCUUGUGGUAUUCAACACAGUGGACUGCGCUCCAGAGUCAUAUGUCCAGUGUCACGCACCUACCAGCUCUGCCUUUGAGUUUGUUUCGUGGAUCGACAACAUCCAGUUCAUGGGAGGUGGAGCAGAGAGCUGUAGUCUAAUUGCAGAGGGACUCUCUGUGGCCUUGCAGCUCUUUGAUGACUUUAAGAAGAUGAGGGAGCAAAUAGGUCAAACCCACAAGGUGUGUGUGUUGCUGUGUAACUCUCCUCCAUAUCUGCUUCCUGCUGUGGAGAGUGUGAGCUACACCGGCUGCACAGCCGACAACUUGGUCAAAAUCAUCAGAGAUAGAGGAAUUCAUUUCUCAGUGGUGGCUCCUCGGAAACUGCCCGCACUAAGAGCUUUGUUUGAGCGAGCGUCUCCAGUUGGAGGUGCAGUCGAACCCCAUCCAGACUACAGUCAGGACCCCUUCCACAUGGUCCUCGUCAGAGGCAUCUCACUUCCUGUUUCCUCAGGUGGAGGACCCGGGCCGCUCAAACCUGUCCUCCCUCCUCAGCCGCUGCCUGUCAGUCAGCCUCACGGUGGAGCUUCACAGGCCCCUCCACCCAUUAACACAGCCCACCCUUAUCAGAAUCCCCCCCCCAUGACUGCUGCUCAGGUGGCUGCACAGAUGGCCGUGGAGGCAGCCAACAGCCAGAAGAGUCGUUUCCCAGGAAUGGUCAGUCAAGGUGCUCCAUUCACCGGUCAGCCAACCAUCCCAUCAGUCGCUGGGGUGAAGCUCAAUCAGCCCAGCAUAUCGACAGUCACUACAGCAACGCAGCCCAUGAUGCCGCAGCAACAAGUUACUCCAAAUCAGCAGCAGCCAGUCCCGCCCCCAGGACAGGCUGUACCCAAUCAGCAGCCGCAGGCCCAGCCACAGCAGCAACCCACGCCGAAUCAGUCCGCAGUGUCUUCAGCACAGGCCAACAUGCCUGGUGUGUCUGGACCUCAAGGCAGUGCAAAUCCGAUUGGACAGCAACAAGGUGUGGCCAAUAAGAUUAUAGCGUGGACCGGUGUUCUGGAGUGGCAAGAGAAGCCUAAACCCUCUUCCAUUGACUCAAACACCAAACUGACGCGUUCUCUGCCAUGUCAGGUGCACGUUAACCAAGGGGAAAAUCUAAACACGGAGCAGUGGCCACAGAAGCUCAUCAUGCAGCUGAUUCCACAGCAGCUACUGACAACCUUAGGUCACCUCUUCAGAAACUCUCGAAUGGUUCAGUUUCUGUUCACCAACAAAGACAUGGAGUCGCUGAAAGGGCUGUACCGCAUUAUGACCAGUGGUUUUGCCGGCUGCGUCCACUUCCCCCACACGACGUCGCCCUGUGAAGUGCGGGUGCUAAUGCUGCUCUACUCGUCCAAGAAGAGAAUAUUCAUGGGCCUCAUCCCCAACGACCAGAGCGGCUUCGUUAACGGCAUCCGGCAAGUCAUCACCAACCACAAGCAGGUCCAGCAACACAGAGCGCAGCAGCUGGGCGGUGGAGGUGGUCCGAUGCAGGCCGGUCAAGUCGCCCCCAACCAGAACUUCCUCAACAGGCCGCCCGGCCCCAUCCCUGUCUCCCACGGCAACGUCCAACAGCAGUCUGUGGUGGUGGGCAUGCCCCCUGUUAGUCAGGUCUCUAUGAUGGAGGAGCAGCAGAGGCAGAACAACAUGAUGACAAUGAGAGCAACCGGACCAUCCAACCAACAGCCGCCAGUCAACGGCGCUCCACCCAACCAGGUCGCACAAGGCGGACAAGCCCAGGCCCAGGGCCCCAUCCUCCGCCUCUCAAACCCAGGAGCCAAUCCACAGCUCCGCAGUCUCCUCCUCAGCCAACAGCAGCCGCAGGGUGGAGUGUCCCACAUGUCGAACAUGAUGUCUCACCAGAUAGGGCAGCAACUGGUCCAUCCCACACCAGGAGGGGGGGCUCAAAUGCAGGGCCAGUGGAGGCAGCCCUUGGCAGGUUAACACAGUUGAUAUCUAAAAGGCAGGCCCAAACAGAAUUUGAGAUUUUGUUUCAUCAUCAACAUGAGGGACUUCAGUUCUCCAGCACUGUUCACCUCUUCAGGUCAGAUCCUGAUGUCUGGAGGUCAAAGAGGCGCUGUACCGCAGUCCGGGAUGCCCCAAGUCUCCAGUGUGAUGGAGGAUGAAAUCCUCAUGGACCUUAUCUAACUGAACAUUGUGGACUAAGGAGCUGUGUUCUGAGUUGAAUCGCCGUCUGCUUGAGCACAUACAUCGGCUCUGUUGCUUUAUUACAAAUACUCAACAUAAUUAAGAAACGAAUCAUGAGUGGUUUCUCCUUCUCCUGUUUCUACGGCACUGAGCAGCUGAGUUAAUUUGGGGCAGACAAUGCAAGCAUUCAUUUUUUUUUUUUUUCUUUCACGAGAAUGGUCAAAACCAACGGCACGCUAAUCCUGGAUGAAGCCAAACCAAACAACAAUGUUACGCUUCUGGAAACUCCUUUUCUAUAAGUUUUGCAUUUUAUCUGAAAUAGUGUUAUUUUUUCCUGUUAGAUUUCUUUUUUUUAUUAUUGUUGAUAAAGUUGUUCUAUGAGGAUUCAAUAAAAAUGAUGACGCAUAGGCGACUGAA